CUCCCAUUGACGCUGAGAGCUUUCUUCUUUCUUAACUGGGGAAGGCUCACGACAUAAACAGCUGCAGGGCAAGUUCAGAGGGGAUGAUAUGUCGACUACGACUUAUGGCAACCCUAUGAAUCAGUGACCUCCAAGAGCAUCUGUUAUGAACCACCCUGUUCAGAUCUUGUGUGGUGAUGGCUACCAACUUGGAUGGCUUUGAAAGAGGAUUGGACAAAUGCAUGGAGGAUCAAAGGCUAUCAAUGGCUACAAGGAAUGUCAAAGAAUUCCAGAUGGAAACAGAAAUAGGUGCAGAAAUUGCAGCUGUUUGCCUAUUUGUCAUGCGAUUGUAACAGGCAUUUGUUGA